rnacentral:rRNA from 1 species
UACGUAGGGGGCGAGCGUUGUCCGGAUUUAUUGGGCGUAAAGAGCUCGUAGGCGGCUGUUCGAGUCGGGUGUGAAAUCCUGAGGCUUAACCUUGGGUCUGCAUUCGAUACUGGGCGGCUUGAGUCUGGUAGGGGGAUCUGGAAUUCCUGGUGUAGCGGUGGAAUGCGCAGAUAUCAGGAGGAACACCGGUGGCGAAGGCGGGAUCCUGGGCCGUACCUGACGCUAAAGCGCGACAGCAUGGGGAGCAAACGGG